rnacentral:rRNA from 1 species
AAUGAACGCUGGCGGCAUGCCUAACACAUGCAAGUCGAACGACAGCACAGGAAGAGCUUGCUCUUGCGGGUGGCGAGUGGCGGACGGGUGAGAAAUACAUCGGAUACUACUUUGACGGGGGUGAUAACGUAGGAAAACUUCUGCUAAUACCUCAUAUAUCGUACGGGUUGGAGCAAGAGUUCUACGGGCUUUUCGCGACUGUAAGAGCCGAUGUCGGAUUAGCUAGUUGGCGGGGUAAAGGCACACCAAGGCGACGAUGCGUAGCUGAUCUGAGAGGGUGAUCAGCCACACUGGAACUGAGACACGGUCCAGACUCCUACGGGAGGCAGCAGUGGGGAAUCUUGCGCAAAGGGCGAAAGCCUGAUCUAGCAACACCGCGUGAGUGAUGAAGGUCUUCGGGUGGUAAAGCUCUGUUGUUGGGAAAGAAAAAAAGCAGGUUUAUCCACGGUUGUCUUGACGGUACCCAAAGAAUAAGCACCGGCUAACUUCGUG